CGCUGGCGGCGUGCUUAACACAUGCAAGUCGAACGAGAGGACAAGAGAAGCUUGCUUCUUUUGGAAUCGAGUGGCAAACGGGUGAGUAACGCGUGAGGAACCUGCCUUUCAGAGGGGGACAACAGUUGGAAACGACUGCUAAUACCGCAUAACAUAUAGAUGUCGCAUGGCAUUUAUAUCAAAGAUUUAUCGCUGAAAGAUGGCCUCGCGUCUGAUUAGCUAGUUGGUGAGGUAACGGCCCACCAAGGCGACGAUCAGUAGCCGGACUGAGAGGCUGAACGGCCACAUUGGGACUGAGAUACGGCCCAGACUCCUACGGGAGGCAGCAGUGGGGAAUAUUGGGCAAUGGGCGCAAGCCUGACCCAGCAACGCCGCGUGAAGGAAGAAGGCUUUCGGGUUGUAAACUUCUUUUGUCAGGGACGAGUAGAAGACGGUACCUGACGAAUAAGCCACGGCUAACUACGUG
rnacentral:rRNA from 1 species